UCGUUUUAUUAUUUCUGAGUGCAAAUCACUCUCUCUCAUUCCCGAUUCCCUUUCUCCUCUUAGUUCUCUCUUAACCUUGAACCUAACGUCCUCUCCUCUCUCUCUCUCCAUCUCACAGCCAGCAGCCACGGAGCACGACAGUCCUAGCGACGUCGUGGGUUGCCUCUAGCCACCAAAUGCAACCUCCCUCAUCCCAUAGAGAUCUGGGUUUCAAAUUUCAGAACUCUUAAUUUUUUUCUCAGCAGCCAAACACGGCGUCAAGAUGGGGAUUAUUAGCAUGAUUUUAUUGUACGUGCGUGUUUUCAGUUUGAUGUCCAUGCUUUUCUGAUGUGCAUGUUUUCAUCUUCAGGUUUGUGGUGUUCGAUUUGUGUUGAUCGACUGCAUCUUUAGUUUCAUGGGGGUCCAGAUCUGACUGGUUUUGACAACCUCAGAGAUAUGAUUGAGGCCGAGGCUCUGACUGGUUUUGACAACCGCAGCAAAUGAAAGGAGUUUUGUUCUGCAUUUGCUGCUUUUAUGGGUAAGCAAACCAGGAGCUACCCUGUGAGGGAGAGAAAUGAAGUCAUUGUUCGGAAUCUGAAUUUCCAAGUGAGAAGGAAAGCAAGGAGCAAAAAUGGCAAAGAAUGUGGGAAUUCUUGCCGUGGCGAUCUACUUCCCUCCCACCUGUAUUCAAAAGGGAGUUUAACUUAUAUUCAGAACAAGAGAAUUAGAGGAGCAGCAAGCUAAAAGAGGUGGUCAGUGAUGUUGUCAGCCAAUAUUUAUUAGUGGAGGAGACUGUUAGUUUGUUUUUACUUUGUGAAAUUUCACUAAUACGAGUCUAAUUAUUUAUGCUUCAAUUUCCGUUAUUGCAACUAUGUGACUAGCCGGAUCUGGAAUGAGACUUGGUUGGCAAGCUUCUUCCACAAACCAUGUAAUUAUGAGUUGUUUGUGAAGCAAUCUCUAAAUAUGGAAAUGGCGAUUGUCAUGGCAAGGUUUAGGUUACUGAAUUUUUAUCUGUUGUAUGACAUGCUUAUUAUAUUUUCUUAAUGUAAUAAGAGGCUAUUCUUCAAGUGUUAUUCAUUUACUU